rnacentral:misc_RNA from 1 species
GAAAUGCGAUACGUAGUGUGAAUUGCAGAAAACCGUGAACCAUCGAAUCUUUGAACGCAUAUUGCGCUCGAGGCUUCGGCCAAGAGCAUGUCUGCCUCAGCGUCGGGUUAACAUCGCUAUACCAACAAACAUUUAUGCUUGUUGUCACAGCGGAUCUGGCUUUCCCAGGUGUGGGUUAUUUAUAGCUCUGUCACCUGGGUCUGCUGAAGAACAGAGGUUGAUGCAUGGACCCGUUUAUGGGCCGCAGUUGGGUAGGCAGCUUCAUGCUUGCUAUCAAUAUCUUACUGUUGGCUUGGGUGUAUGCGCGCAGCCCUCAAACCAGGAACUGUGCGCGCUCCUCACAGAGCGUGUGCUUCUUUUGUUCUCGACCUGAGCUCAGGCAAGAUUACCCGCUGAACUU